UAACCUGCAAAAGCGGGAUUGUAGAGAUU
rnacentral:sRNA from 1 species